GAUGAACGCUGGCGGCGUGCCUAAUACAUGCAAGUCGAGCGAACAGACGAGGAGCUUGCUCCUCUGACGUUAGCGGCGGACGGGUGAGUAACACGUGGAUAACCUACCUAUAAGACUGGGAUAACUUCGGGAAACCGGAGCUAAUACCGGAUAAUAUAUUGAACCGCAUUGUUCAAUAGUGAAAGACGGUUUUGCUGUCACUUAUCGAUGGAUCCGCGCCGCAUUAGCUAGUUGGUAAGGUAACGGCUUACCAAGGCGACGAUGCGUAGCCGACCUGAGAGGGUGAUAGGCCACACUGGAACUGAGACACGGUCCAGACUCCUACGGGAGGCAGCAGUAGGGAAUCUUCCGCAAUGGGCGAAAGCCUGACGGAGCAACGCCGCGUGAGUGAUGAAGGUCUUCGGAUCGUAAAACUCUGUUAUUAGGGAAGAACAAAUGUGUAAGUAACUAUGCACGUCUUGACGGUACCUAAUCAGAAAGCCACGGCUAACUACGUG
rnacentral:rRNA from 1 species